ACGGAAUAGAUACCCAGGUAGUCCCAGCCGUAAACGAUGCUCGCUAGGUGUCAGGCAUGGCGCGACCGUGUCUGGUGCCGCAGGGGAAGCCGUGAAGCGAGCCACCUGGGAAGUACGGCCGCAAGGCUGAAACUUAAAGGAAUUGGCGGGGAGCACAACAACGGGUGGAGCCUGCGGUUUAAUUGGACUCAACGCCGGACAACUCACCGGGGGCGGACAGCAAUAUGUAGGCCAAGCUGAAGACUUUGCCUGAAUCGCUGAGAGGAGGUGCAUGGCCGUCGCCAGUUCGUACUGUGAAGCAUCCUGUUAAGUCAGGCAACGAGCGAGACCCGUGCCCACUGUUACCAGCAUGUCCUCCGGGACGAUGGGUACUCUGUGGGGACCGCCUAUGUUAAAUAGGAGGAAGGUGCGGGCCACGGUAGGUCAGUAUGCCCCGAAUCUCCCGGGCUACACGCGGGCUACAAUGGAUGGGACAAUGGGUCCCUACUCCGAAAGGAGCUGGUAAUCUCACAAACCCAUUCGUAGUUCGGAUCGAGGGCU
rnacentral:rRNA from 1 species